rnacentral:rRNA from 1 species
GACGUGCUAAUCUGCGAUAAGCGUCGGUAAGGUGAUAUGAACCGUUAUAACCGGCGAUUUCCGAAUGGGGAAACCCAGUGUGAUUCGUCACACUAUCAUUAACUGAAUCCAUAGGUUAAUGAGGCGAACCGGGGGAACUGAAACAUCUAAGUACCCCGAGGAAAAGAAAUCAACCGAGAUUCCCCCAGUAGCGGCGAGCGAACGGGGAGCAGCCCAGAGCCUGAAUCAGUGUGUGUGUUAGUGGAAGCGUCUGGAAAGGCGUGCGAUACAGGGUGACAGCCCCGUACACAAAAAUGCACAUACUGUGAGCUCGAUGAGUAGGGCGGGACACGUGGUAUCCUGUCUGAAUAUGGGGGGACCAUCCUCCAAGGCUAAAUACUCCUGACUGACCGAUAGUGAACCAGUACCGUGAGGGAAAGGCGAAAAGAACCCCGGCGAGGGGAGUGAAAAAGAACCUGAAACCGUGUACGUACAAGCAGUGGGAGCACGCUUAGGCGUGUGACUGCGUACCUUUUGUAUAAUGGGUCAGCGACUUAUAUUCUGUAGCAAGGUUAACCGAAUAGGGGAGCCGAAGGGAAACCGAGUCUUAACUGGGCGUUAAGUUGCAGGGUAUAGACCCGAAACCCGGUGAUCUAGCCAUGGGCAGGUUGAAGGUUGGGUAACACUAACUGGAGGACCGAACCGACUAAUGUUGAAAAAUUAGCGGAUGACUUGUGGCUGGGGGUGAAAGGCCAAUCAAACCGGGAGAUAGCUGGUUCUCCCCGAAAGCUAUUUAGGUAGCGCCUCGUGAAUUCAUCUCCGGGGGUAGAGCACUGUUUCGGCAAGGGGGUCAUCCCGACUUACCAACCCGAUGCAAACUGCGAAUACCGGAGAAUGUUAUCACGGGAGACACACGGCGGGUGCUAACGUCCGUCGUGAAGAGGGAAACAACCCAGACCGCCAGCUAAGGUCCCAAAGUCAUGGUUAAGUGGGAAACGAUGUGGGAAGGCCCAGACAGCCAGGAUGUUGGCUUAGAAGCAGCCAUCAUUUAAAGAAAGCGUAAUAGCUCACUGGUCGAGUCGGCCUGCGCGGAAGAUGUAACGGGGCUAAACCAUGCACCGAAGCUGCGGCAGCGACGCUUAUGCGUUGUUGGGUAGGGGAGCGUUCUGUAAGCCUGUGAAGGUGUGCUGUGAGGUAUGCUGGAGGUAUCAGAAGUGCGAAUGCUGACAUAAGUAACGAUAAAGCGGGUGAAAAGCCCGCUCGCCGGAAGACCAAGGGUUCCUGUCCAACGUUAAUCGGGGCAGGGUGAGUCGACCCCUAAGGCGAGGCCGAAAGGCGUAGUCGAUGGGAAACAGGUUAAUAUUCCUGUACUUGGUGUUACUGCGAAGGGGGGACGGAGAAGGCUAUGUUGGCCGGGCGACGGUUGUCCCGGUUUAAGCGUGUAGGCUGGUUUUCCAGGCAAAUCCGGAAAAUCAAGGCCGAGGCGUGAUGACGAGGCACUACGGUGCUGAAGCAACAAAUGCCCUGCUUCCAGGAAAAGCCUCUAAGCAUCAGGUAACAUCAAAUCGUACCCCAAACCGACACAGGUGGUCAGGUAGAGAAUACCAAGGCGCUUGAGAGAACUCGGGUGAAGGAACUAGGCAAAAUGGUGCCGUAACUUCGGGAGAAGGCACGCUGAUACGUAGGUGAAGCGACUUGCUCGUGGAGCUGAAAUCAGUCGAAGAUACCAGCUGGCUGCAACUGUUUAUUAAAAACACAGCACUGUGCAAACACGAAAGUGGACGUAUACGGUGUGACGCCUGCCCGGUGCCGGAAGGUUAAUUGAUGGGGUUAGCGCAAGCGAAGCUCUUGAUCGAAGCCCCGGUAAACGGCGGCCGUAACUAUAACGGUCCUAAGGUAGCGAAAUUCCUUGUCGGGUAAGUUCCGACCUGCACGAAUGGCGUAAUGAUGGCCAGGCUGUCUCCACCCGAGACUCAGUGAAAUUGAACUCGCUGUGAAGAUGCAGUGUACCCGCGGCAAGACGGAAAGACCCCGUGAACCUUUACUAUAGCUUGACACUGAACAUUGAGCCUUGAUGUGUAGGAUAGGUGGGAGGCUUUGAAGUGUGGACGCCAGUCUGCAUGGAGCCGACCUUGAAAUACCACCCUUUAAUGUUUGAUGUUCUAACGUGGACCCGUGAUCCGGGUUGCGGACAGUGUCUGGUGGGUAGUUUGACUGGGGCGGUCUCCUCCUAAAGAGUAACGGAGGAGCACGAAGGUUGGCUAAUCCUGGUCGGACAUCAGGAGGUUAGUGCAAUGGCAUAAGCCAGCUUGACUGCGAGCGUGACGGCGCGAGCAGGUGCGAAAGCAGGUCAUAGUGAUCCGGUGGUUCUGAAUGGAAGGGCCAUCGCUCAACGGAUAAAAGGUACUCCGGGGAUAACAGGCUGAUACCGCCCAAGAGUUCAUAUCGACGGCGGUGUUUGGCACCUCGAUGUCGGCUCAUCACAUCCUGGGGCUGAAGUAGGUCCCAAGGGUAUGGCUGUUCGCCAUUUAAAGUGGUACGCGAGCUGGGUUUAGAACGUCGUGAGACAGUUCGGUCCCUAUCUGCCGUGGGCGCUGGAGAACUGAGGGGGGCUGCUCCUAGU